rnacentral:rRNA from 1 species
UUCCGUAGGUGAACCUGCGGAGGGAUCAUUACUGAGUUACCGCUCUAUAACCCUUUGUGAACAUACCUAUACGUUGCUUCGGCGGCCGUCCCCCGGGGCGUCCGCCGGAGGAUAACCAAACUCUGAUUUAACGACGUUUCUUCUGAGUGGCACAAGCAAAUAAUCAAAACUUUUAACAACGGAUCUGCUGGUUCUGGCAUCGAUGAAGAACGCAGCGAAAUGCGAUAAGUAAUGUGAAUUGCAGAAUUCAGUGAAUCAUCGAAUCUUUGAACGCACAUUGCGCCCGCCAGCAUUCUGGCGGGCAUGCCUGUUCGAGCGUCAUUUCAACCCUCAAGCACUGCUUGGUGUUGGGGCUCUACGGUUGACGUAGGCCCCCAAAACUAGUGGCGGACCCUCUCGGAGCCUCCUUUGCGUAGUAACUUUUGUCUCGCAUCUGGGAUUCGGAGGGACUCUAGCCGUUAAACCCCCCAAUUUUUUAAAGGUGACCUCGGAU